AGAGUUUGAUCAUGGCUCAGAUUGAACGCUAGUAGUAUGCUUAACACAUGCAAGUCAAACGGAAAUGUUUUCGUGGCGAACGGGUGAGUAUUCACAGAAUUUUCCCUUUCAGUUCAGGACAAAGAUUUACUUGAUUAAAUUUAAAUACUGGAUAGUUUUAAAGGUUAAUUCCGCUGAAAGAUAAAUCUGUAUAAGAUUAGGUUGUUGGUAAAUUAAAAGCUUACCAAGCCUACGAUCUUUAGUUGAUUUUAGAGAAUGAUCAACCACACUGGAACUGAAAUAAGGUCCAGGCUGACACGUCGGCCAGCAGUGAGGAAUAUUGGACAAUGAACGAAAGUUUGAUCCAGCAAUACUACCUGGGUGAUGACGGCUUAUUUAAGUUGUAAGAUCCUUUAAUUAAAGAAGAUAAUGACAUUAUUUAAUUGAAUUUAGUCCUGGCUAAUACUCGUGCCAGCAGCCGCGGUAAUACGGGAAGGGCAAGCGUUAAUCGGCAUGACUGGGCGUAAAGCGUUCGUAGACUGUAAAGUAAGUUCUUUGUCAAAUUUUAAGACCCAAUCUUAACUAGCAUUUAAUACUGCUUUACUUUGAGUUUAAUACAGAAA
rnacentral:rRNA from 1 species